UACGAAGGGGGCUAGCGUUGUUCGGAAUUACUGGGCGUAAAGGGCGCGUAGGCGGUGUGUCAAGUCAGGCGUGAAAGCCCCGGGCUCAACCUGGGAACAGCGCUUGAGACUGGCACGCUCGAGUUCGGGAGAGGAUGGUGGAAUUCCCAGUGUAGAGGUGAAAUUCGUAGAUAUUGCUAGGAACACCAAUGGCGAAGGCAGCUUGCUGGGCUACUCCUGACACUGAGGUACGAAAGCGUGGGGAGCGAACAGG
rnacentral:rRNA from 1 species